GAGAAAUAUCCUUUGCUAGGAUUUUUGCUGGGGGUUUAGUAAUUACAUUUUAAUUAUUGUCGAUCCUAUGUAGCAACAGGUCCAGUCUCCCUAUUGAGAAGCAAGUUGCUCACUUUCCUGCUUCCAAAGUGUGUUCACUGCCGGUGACCAGAGGAACGAAGCAGCGCGUCCCUCCCGGUUGCUGUGUUCACUGGGCAGACAAGGUGAGUGGAAGGAUUUAUCGGCACUGAACGUGGAGAAGGCAAAGCUGGAAAUCCACAAAAGAAGUUUGAGUGAUGAGGGAACAUGAGCAAACAGGUGCAUUCACCACUGACUGUGCAAAUGAAGACUAAAGCAGUGAGAAAUGACCAGAUCUGCUCCCGACUGCCUGAGUCUGCUUCCAAGGCC
rnacentral:lncRNA from 1 species